GGAAGGACUUUCUUUCAGGGGUAGAACAGCUGCUUUGCAUGCAGAAGGACCCAGGUCCAAUCCCUGGUGUCUCCA